GGGGGAAAAAUUAAUAAAUUAUAAAUAAUAAAAUGAAUUUUAAAUUAAAAAUAAAUAAUGGGGGUUAAAGUAUUUUUAAUGAAAAAAUUUAAAAUUUUAUAGUAAAUUAAGUAUUGUAAAAGAAAUUUGAAAUAGUUGAAAAAAAAAUAAGAAAAAAGAAAAUUUAAUUUAUUGUAUCUUGUGUAUCAGAGUUUAUCAAAUAAUUAUUUUAUAUAAAAAAAUCUCGAAUUUAAAAGAGUUAAUUAAUUAAAAAAGUUAAUGUAACAUAAUUAUUUUAAAUAAUUAAUUAGAAAUGAAAUGUUAAUCGUUUUUAAAUAUAUCUAGUUAUUUUAGAAAAAAAUUUAAUUUUAAAUUUAAAUAAUUUUAUAGUUUAUUUAAAAAUUAUAAAAAUUUAAAUUUUAUAUUUUAAGGGAUAAGCUUUAAAUUAAAAAUUUAUAAUAAUAAUAAAUUAAAUUUAAAAUUUUUAAAAUUUAUAUUGUUUAAAAAUUAUAAUUUAUUAUAAAAAAUUUUAAUAAAAAAAAAAUAAAAUUUAAUGUAAAAAUUUAAAUUUUUAUAAAAUAAAAAUUUUUAAUAAAAAAAAAUUAAUAAUAAUGAUAAAAUUAGUAUAAAUAAAGAUAAAAUAUGUUCAUGAAUAAUUAAAUUUAAAUUAAAGGAAUUCGGCAAAAAGGUAUAUUCACUUGUUUAUCAAAAACAUGUCUUUUUGACUAAAUAAUUUAAAGUCUAAUCUGCCCACUGAUAAUAUUAAAGGGCUGCAGUAUAUUGACUGUACAAAGGUAGCAUAAUCAUUAGUUUUUUAAUUGGAAACUUGUAUGAAGGAUUGGAUGAAAUAUAGGCUGUCUCUAAUUUAUUAUUAGAAAUUUAUUUUUUAGUUAAAAAGCUAAAAUAUAUUUAAAAGACGAGAAGACCCUAUAGAGUUUUAUAUUUAAAUUUAUUUAAAAAAUAUAUAAAAUUUUUAUUAUUAAAUAAGUUUAAGUAUUAUGUUGGGGUGAUAGAAAAAUUAAAUAAACUUUUUUUAAAAAUUAAACAUAAAUAAAUGAUUAAAUGAUCCAUUAAUAAUGAUUAUAAGAAAAAAUUACCUUAGGGAUAACAGCGUAAUAUUUUUUUUUAGUUCAAAUAAAAAAAAAAGUUUGCGACCUCGAUGUUGGAUUAAGAUAAAAUUUAAAUGCAAAAGUUUAAAAUUUUGAUCUGUUCGAUCAUUAAAAUCUUACAUGAUCUGAGUUCAAACCGGUGUAAGCCAGGUUGGUUUCUAUCUUUAGAAAAUAAAAAUAUUUUAGUACGAAAGGAUCAAAUAUUGAAAAUAAUUUUAAUAGUUGGGAAUAUUAGUAAUAUAAUUAAAUAUUUA
rnacentral:rRNA from 1 species